GACGAACGCUGGCGGCGUGCUUAACACAUGCAAGUCGAACGGAAAGGCCCUGCUUUUGUGGGGUGCUCGAGUGGCGAACGGGUGAGUAACACGUGAGUAACCUGCCCUUUACUUUGGGAUAACUUCAGGAAACUGGGGCUAAUACCUGAUAGGAGCUCCGGCUGCAUUGUGGGGGUUGGAAAGUUUCGGCGGUUGGGGAUGGACUCGCGGCUUAUCAGCUUGUUGGUGGGGUAGUGGCUUACCAAGGCUGUGACGGGUAGCCGGCCUGAGAGGGUGACCGGCCAAAUUGGGCCUGAGAUACGGCCCAGACUCGUACGGGAGGCAGCAGUGGGGAAUAGUGUACAAUGGGCGGAAGCCUGAUGCAGCCACGCCGCGUGCGGGAUGACGGCCUUCGGGUUGUAAAGCGCUUUCGCCUGUGACGAAGCGUGAGUGACGGUAAUGGGUAAAGAAGCACCGGCUAACUACGUG
rnacentral:rRNA from 1 species